rnacentral:rRNA from 1 species
GGCUCAGGAUGAACGCUANCGGCAGGCUUAAUACAUGCAAGUCGAGGGGCAGCAUGACUGUAGCAAUACAGUUGAUGGGCGACCGGCAAACGGGUGCGGAACACGUACAGAACCUUCCUUCGAGCGGGGAAUAGCCCAGAGAAAUUUGGAUUAAUACCCCAUAGUAUAUUAGAGUGGCAUCACUUUGAUAUUAAAGAUUUAUCACUUGAAGAUGGCUGUGCGGCUGAUUAGGUAGUUGGCGGGGUAACGGCCCACCAAGCCUUCGAUCAGUAACUGGUGUGAGAGCACGACCAGUCACACGGGCACUGAGACACGGGCCCGACUCCUACGGGAGGCAGCAGUAAGGAAUAUUGGUCAAUGGACGAAAGUCUGAACCAGCCAUGCCGCGUGGAGGAUGAAGGUCCUCUGGAUUGUAAACUUCUUUUAUAUGGGACGAAAAAAGGGUUUUCUAACUCGUCUGACGGUACCAUAUGAAUAAGCACCGGCUAACUCCGUG